AGUGAACGCUGGCGGUAGGCCUAACACAUGCAAGUCGAACGGCAGCACAGUAAGAGCUUGCUCUUACGGGUGGCGAGUGGCGGACGGGUGAGGAAUACAUCGGAAUCUACUUUUUCGUGGGGGAUAACGUAGGGAAACUUACGCUAAUACCGCAUACGACCUACGGGUGAAAGCAGGGGAUCUUCGGACCUUGCGCGAUUGAAUGAGCCGAUGUCGGAUUAGCUAGUUGGCGGGGUAAAGGCCCACCAAGGCGACGAUCCGUAGCUGGUCUGAGAGGAUGAUCAGCCACACUGGAACUGAGACACGGUCCAGACUCCUACGGGAGGCAGCAGUGGGGAAUAUUGGACAAUGGGCGCAAGCCUGAUCCAGCCAUACCGCGUGGGUGAAGAAGGCCUUCGGGUUGUAAAGCCCUUUUGCUGGGAAAGAAAAGCAGCAGGUUAAUACCCCGCUGUUCUGACGGUACCCAAAGAAUAAGCACCGGCUAAUUUCGUG
rnacentral:rRNA from 1 species